CUGCUGUGAUGACUUGCCUUGGUUUCGCUUAUUGCUGAUUCAACCUAUGAAGACUCAGUCUCUUGGCUGUCUGAGCAG